CCCAUCUGUAACCAUUUAUGAUUAAAAUUCCCCAUCUGUUAAACUAGGGUUUCACACUCCUCUCCCAUCUCAGUCUCAGCAAAAAUCCCAGCUGUAGCCGCUUCACAAUGGUUGCUGCAAAGAAAACUAAAAAGACUCAUGAGAGCAUCAAUAACAGGCUCGCUCUUGUUAUGAAGAGCGGAAAGUAUACCCUUGGUUACAAGACCGUACUCAAAACUCUCCGUAACUCCAAAGGGAAACUGAUACUGAUAUCGAACAACUGUCCACCACUGAGGAAAUCUGAGAUCGAGUACUAUGCCAUGCUUUCAAAAGUUGGCGUACACCACUAUAAUGGAAAUAAUGUUGACUUGGGAACUGCCUGUGGCAAAUACUUCCGUGUUUCUUGCCUAAGCAUUAUUGAUCCAGGUGACUCGGACAUCAUUAAGUCACUGCCUGGUGAACACUGAGAGGAUUUUUUUCUUUGUUGUAUCGGUUAUUUUGGACUUGAAGAGUUUCCUUUUUCUAAAUUUGUAGCGUAGGGGCAUUGCUCCCGCACCCAACCUAUUCAGGGUCCCUGACAAACAAAUAGUGAAUUACAACCUGCAAGGCUAAUGCCAUCACUUCUCUCUCCGUUCCGUUCGAUGAGCUCCGCUCUUCUCACUCCACUCCGGCAUCGGCUAUUUCGAUCAAGUUAACUUAUGUUUCACUCUAUAUGAAUCACAUACACAACAAAGAUUAUUUGUGAGAAUUAAAAACAUGCAGAAUAAUGUGAAAGGGUGAAAAAUAAGUCUUUUCUACA